UUGGUAUGGGGGCUCGAGGGCCGAUGAGAAGCUCCCCGGUUCGAGCCGAGCCCGGCAACGCCGGGCGAGACAGCAGCGCCUUGCAAAGGCGCUGACCCGAAGGGCGAGCCGCUUUGCGGCGAGUCAUCCUCUCGGGCGCGCCA
rnacentral:sRNA from 1 species